CCUACGGGAGGCAGCAGUGAGGAAUAUUGGUCAAUGGGCGCGAGCCUGAACCAGCCAAGUAGCGUGAAGGAUGACUGCCCUACGGGUUGUAAACUUCGUUUAUAAAGGAAUAAAGUGAGUCACGUGUGCCUUUUUGUAUGUACUUUAUGAAUAAGCAUCGGCUAACUCCGUGCCAGCAGCCGCGGUAAUACGGAGGAUGCGAGGGUUAUCCGGAUUUAUUGGGUUUAAAGGGUGCGUAGGUGGUUAAUUAAGUCAGCGGUGAAAGUUUGUGGCUCAACCAUAAAAUUGCCGUUGAAACUGGUUGACUUGAGUAUAUGUGAGGUAGGCGGAAUGCGUGGUGUAGCGGUGAAAUGCAUAGAUAUCACGCAGAACACCGAUUGCGAAGGCAGCUUACUAAACUAUAACUGACACUGAAGCACGAAAGCGUGGGGAGCAAACAGGAUUAGAUACCCUGGUAGUC
rnacentral:rRNA from 1 species